GCCUACCAAGGCUACGACGGGUAGCUGGUCUGAGAGGACGACCAGCCACACUGGGACUGAGACACGGCCCAGACUCCUACGGGAGGCAGCAGUGGGGAAUCUUGCGCAAUGGGCGAAAGCCUGACGCAGCAACGCCGCGUGAGGGAUGAAGGUCUUCGGGUUGUAAACCUCUUUCGAGCAGGGACGAUUGUGACGGUACCUGCAGAAGAAGCUCCGGCCAACUACGUGCCAGCAGCCGCGGUGAUACGUAGGGAGCGAGCGUUGUCCGGAUUUAUUGGGCGUAAAGAGCUCGUAGGCGGCUCAGUAAGUCAGGUGUGAAAUCCUCAGGCUCAACCUGGGGCUGCCAUCUGAUACUGCUGUGGCUAGAGCCCGGUAGGGGUCCACGGAAUUCCUGGUGUAGCGGUGAAAUGCGCAGAUAUCAGGAGGAACACCAGUGGCGAAGGCGGUGGACUGGGCCGGUACUGACGCUGAGGAGCGAAAGCGUGGGGAGCGAACAGGAUUAGAUACCCUGGUAGUCCACGCCGUAAACGUUGGGCACUAGGUGUGGGACCUUGUCAACGGGUUCCGUGCCGUAGCU
rnacentral:rRNA from 1 species